GACGAACGCUGGCGGCGUGCCUAAUACAUGCAAGUAGAACGCACAGUUUAUACCGUAGCUUGCUACACCAUAGACUGUGAGUUGCGAACGGGUGAGUAACGCGUAGGUAACCUGCCUGGUAGCGGGGGAUAACUAUUGGAAACGAUAGCUAAUACCGCAUAAUAUUAAUUAUUGCAUGAUAAUUAAUUGAAAGGUGCAAUUGCACCACUACCAGAUGGACCUGCGUUGUAUUAGCUAGUAGGUGAGGUAACGGCUCACCUAGGCGACGAUACAUAGCCGACCUGAGAGGGUGAUCGGCCACCCUGGGACUGAGACCCGGCCCAGACUCCUACGGGAGGCAGCAGUAGGGAAUCUUCGGCAAUGGACGAAAGUCUGACCGAGCAACGCCGCGUGAGUGAAGAAGGUUUUCGGAUCGUAAAGCUCCGUUGUAAGAGAAGAACGGGUGUGAGAGUGGAAAGUUCACACUGUGACGGUAUCUUACCAGAAAGGGACGGCUAACUACGUG
rnacentral:rRNA from 1 species